ACGGGCAUAGCUCAACUGGUAGAGCGACGGUCUCCAAAACCGUAGGCUGUGGGUUCAAGUCCUACUGCCCGUGCAA
rnacentral:tRNA from 1 species